rnacentral:misc_RNA from 1 species
GAUGAAGAACGUAGCAAAAUGCGAUAAGUAAUGUGAAUUGCAGAAUUCAGUGAAUCAUCGAAUCUUUGAACGCACAUUGCGCCCGCCAGUAUUCUGGCGGGCAUGCCUGUUCGAGCGUCAUUUCAACCCUCAAGCACAGCUUGGUGUUAGGACUCGCGUUAAUUCGCGUUCCCCAAAUUGAUUGGCGGUCACGUCGAGCUUCCAUAGCGUAGUAGUAAAACCCUCGUUACUGGUAAUCGUCGCGGCCACGCCGUUAAACCCCAACUUCUGAAUGUUGACCUCGGAUCAGGUAGGAAUACCCGCUGAACUUAAGCAUAUCAAUAAGCGGAGGA